AGCCGCCGCGGUAAUACGAAGGUCCCGAGCGUUGUUCGGAAUCACUGGGCGUAAAGGGAGCGUAGGCGGCGUGGUAAGUCAGAUGUGAAAUCCCGGGGCUCAACCCCGGAACUGCAUCCGAUACUGCCGUGCUAGAGGAUUGGAGAGGUAGCUGGAAUUCUUGGUGUAGCAGUGAAAUGCGUGGAGAUCAAGAGGAACACUCGUGGCGAAAGCGAGCUACUGGACAAUAUCUGACGCUGAGGCUCGAAGGCCAGGGUAGCGAAAGGGAUUAGAUACCCGCGUAGUCCCUGUCUCUUAUACA
rnacentral:rRNA from 1 species